rnacentral:rRNA from 1 species
UUAAGCGACUAAGCGUACACGGUGGAUGCCCUGGCAGUCAGAGGCGAUGAAGGACGUGCUAAUCUGCGAUAAGCGUCGGUAAGGUGAUAUGAACCGUUAUAACCGGCGAUUUCCGAAUGGGGAAACCCAGUGUGAUUCGUCACACUAUCAUUAACUGAAUCCAUAGGUUAAUGAGGCGAACCGGGGGAACUGAAACAUCUAAGUACCCCGAGGAAAAGAAAUCAACCGAGAUUCCCCCAGUAGCGGCGAGCGAACGGGGAGGAGCCCAGAGCCUGAAUCAGUGUGUGUGUUAGUGGAAGCGUCUGGAAAGGCGCGCGAUACAGGGUGACAGCCCCGUACACAAAAAUGCACAUACUGUGAGCUCGAUGAGUAGGGCGGGACACGUGGUAUCCUGUCUGAAUAUGGGGGGACCAUCCUCCAAGGCUAAAUACUCCUGACUGACCGAUAGUGAACCAGUACCGUGAGGGAAAGGCGAAAAGAACCCGGCGAGGGGAGUGAAAAAGAACCUGAAACCGUGUACGUACAAGCAGUGGGAGCCUCUUUUAUGGGGUGACUGCGUACCUUUUGUAUAAUGGGUCAGCGACUUAUAUUCUGUAGCAAGGUUAACCGAAUAGGGGAGCCGAAGGGAAACCGAGUCUUAACUGGGCGUUAAGUUGCAGGGUAUAGACCCGAAACCCGGUGAUCUAGCCAUGGGCAGGUUGAAGGUUGGGUAACACUAACUGGAGGACCGAACCGACUAAUGUUGAAAAAUUAGCGGAUGACUUGUGGCUGGGGGUGAAAGGCCAAUCAAACCGGGAGAUAGCUGGUUCUCCCCGAAAGCUAUUUAGGUAGCGCCUCGUGAACUCAUCUCCGGGGUAGAGCACUGUUUCGGCAAGGGGUCAUCCCGACUUACCAACCCGAUGCAAACUGCGAAUACCGGAGAAUGUUAUCACGGGAGACACACGGCGGGUGCUAACGUCCGUCGUGAAGAGGGAAACAACCCAGACCGCCAGCUAAGGUCCCAAAGUCAUGGUUAAGUGGGAAACGAUGUGGGAAGGCCCAGACAGCCAGGAUGUUGGCUUAGAAGCAGCCAUCAUUUAAAGAAAGCGUAAUAGCUCACUGGUCGAGUCGGCCUGCGCGGAAGAUGUAACGGGGCUAAACCAUGCACCGAAGCUGCGGCAGCGACACUAUGUGUUGUUGGGUAGGGGAGCGUUCUGUAAGCCUGUGAAGGUGUACUGUGAGGUAUGCUGGAGGUAUCAGAAGUGCGAAUGCUGACAUAAGUAACGAUAAAGCGGGUGAAAAGCCCGCUCGCCGGAAGACCAAGGGUUCCUGUCCAACGUUAAUCGGGGCAGGGUGAGUCGACCCCUAAGGCGAGGCCGAAAGGCGUAGUCGAUGGGAAACAGGUUAAUAUUCCUGUACUUGGUGUUACUGCGAAGGGGGGACGGAGAAGGCUAUGUUGGCCGGGCGACGGUUGUCCCGGUUUAAGCGUGUAGGCUGGUUUUCCAGGCAAAUCCGGAAAAUCAAGGCUGAGGCGUGAUGACGAGGCACUACGGUGCUGAAGCAACAAAUGCCCUGCUUCCAGGAAAAGCCUCUAAGCAUCAGGUAACAUCAAAUCGUACCCCAAACCGACACAGGUGGUCAGGUAGAGAAUACCAAGGCGCUUGAGAGAACUCGGGUGAAGGAACUAGGCAAAAUGGUGCCGUAACUUCGGGAGAAGGCACGCUGAUAUGUAGGUGAAGCGACUUGCUCGUGGAGCUGAAAUCAGUCGAAGAUACCAGCUGGCUGCAACUGUUUAUUAAAAACACAGCACUGUGCAAACACGAAAGUGGACGUAUACGGUGUGACGCCUGCCCGGUGCCGGAAGGUUAAUUGAUGGGGUCAGCGCAAGCGAAGCUCUUGAUCGAAGCCCCGGUAAACGGCGGCCGUAACUAUAACGGUCCUAAGGUAGCGAAAUUCCUUGUCGGGUAAGUUCCGACCUGCACGAAUGGCGUAAUGAUGGCCAGGCUGUCUCCACCCGAGACUCAGUGAAAUUGAACUCGCUGUGAAGAUGCAGUGUACCCGCGGCAAGACGGAAAGACCCCGUGAACCUUUACUAUAGCUUGACACUGAACAUUGAGCCUUGAUGUGUAGGAUAGGUGGGAGGCUUAGAAGUGUGGACGCCAGUCUGCAUGGAGCCGACCUUGAAAUACCACCCUUUAAUGUUUGAUGUUCUAACGUUGACCCGUGAUCCGGGUUGCGGACAGUGUCUGGUGGGUAGUUUGACUGGGGCGGUCUCCUCCUAAAGAGUAACGGAGGAGCACGAAGGUUGGCUAAUCCUGGUCGGACAUCAGGAGGUUAGUGCAAUGGCAUAAGCCAGCUUGACUGCGAGCGUGACGGCGCGAGCAGGUGCGAAAGCAGGUCAUAGUGAUCCGGUGGUUCUGAAUGGAAGGGCCAUCGCUCAACGGAUAAAAGGUACUCCGGGGAUAACAGGCUGAUACCGCCCAAGAGUUCAUAUCGACGGCGGUGUUUGGCACCUCGAUGUCGGCUCAUCACAUCCUGGGGCUGAAGUAGGUCCCAAGGGUAUGGCUGUUCGCCAUUUAAAGUGGUACGCGAGCUGGGUUUAGAACGUCGUGAGACAGUUCGGUCCCUAUCUGCCGUGGGCGCUGGAGAACUGAGGGGGGCUGCUCCUAGUACGAGAGGACCGGAGUGGACGCAUCACUGGUGUUCGGGUUGUCAUGCCAAUGGCACUGCCCGGUAGCUAAAUGCGGAAGAGAUAAGUGCUGAAAGCAUCUAAGCACGAAACUUGCCCCGAGAUGAGUUCUCCCUGACCCUUUAAGGGUCCUGAAGGAACGUUGAAGACGACGACGUUGAUAGGCCGGGUGUGUAAGCGCAGCGAUGCGUUGAGCUAACCGGUACUAAUGAACCGUGAGGCUUAACCUU